rnacentral:rRNA from 1 species
AUUGACCGCUGGUGGCAGGCUUAACACAUGCAAGUCGAGCGAGCGGCGGACGGGUGUGUAAUGUCUGGGAAACUGCCCGAUGGAGGGGGAUAACUAUUGGAACCGGUAGCUAAUCCCGCAUACCCUCCGAUGUGCCCAGAGUGGAUUAGCUAGUAGGUGGGGUAAUGGCUCACCUAGGCGACGAUCCCUAGCUGGUCUGAGAGGAUGACCGGCCACACUGGAACUGAGACACGGUCCAGACUCGUACGUGAGGCAGCAGUGGGGAAUAUUGCACAAUGGGCGCAAGCCUGAUGCAGCCAUGACGCGUGUGUGAAGAAGGCCUUCGGGUUGUAAAGCACUUUCAGCGAGGAGGCGUUACUCGCAGAAGAAGCACCGGCUAACUCCGUGCCAGCCGCCGCGGUAAUAC